rnacentral:rRNA from 1 species
AUUGAACGCUGGCGGCAGGCCUAACACAUGCAAGUCGAACGAGUGGCGGACGGGUGAGUAAUGUCUGGGAAACUGCCUGAUGGAGGGGGAUAACUACUGGAAACGGUAGCUAAUACCGCAUACCAUCAGAUGUGCCCAGAUGGGAUUAGCUUGUUGGUGGGGUAACGGCUCACCAAGGCGACGAUCCCUAGCUGGUCUGAGAGGAUGACCAGCCACCCUGGAGCUGAGACACGGUGCAGAAGCCUGAGGGAGGCAGCAGUGGGGAAUAUUGCACAAUGGGGGCAAGCCUGAUACAGCCAUACCGCGUGUAUGAAGAAGGCCUUAGGGUUGUAAAGUACUUUCAGCAGGAAGGCGUUACCCGCAGAAGAAGCACCGGCUAACUCCGUGCCAGCAGCCGCGGUAAUAC